AUUGAACGCUGGCGGCAGGCCUAACACAUGCAAGUCGAACGAGUGGCGGAGGGGUGAGUAAUGUAUGGGAAACUGCCCGAUGGAGGGGGAUAACUACUGGAAACGGGAGCUAAUACCGCAUACCAUCGGAUGUGCCCAGAUGGGAUUAGAUAGUAGGUGGGGUAACGGCUCACAUAGGGGACGAUCCCUAGCUGGGCUGGAAGGAUGACCAGCAACACUGGAACUGAGACACGGUCCAGACUCCGACGGGAGGCAGCAGUGGGGAAUAGUGCACAAUGGGCGCAAGCCUGAUGCAGCCAUGCCGCGUGUAUGAAGAAGGCCUUCGGGUUGUAAAGUACUUUCAGCGAGGAGGCGUUACUCGCAGAAGAAGCACCUGCUAACUCCGUGCCAGCAGCCGCGGUAAUUC
rnacentral:rRNA from 1 species